rnacentral:misc_RNA from 1 species
GAAAUGCGAUAUGUAAUACGAAUCGCAGCUCUCGGAAUCAUCGAAUCUUUGAACGCACAUUGCACCAUUGGGUAUUCCCAAUGGUAUGCUUGUUUGAGCGAAUACUUCCCUAAUCCUCACGGAUUGUAUUGUGUUUGCACGAAAAUAAUGACGACAGUACUCUACAAAACGGUACCGUCAGUACACUCAUUUUUUUUCCUCAAAUCAAGUAGGACUACCCGCUGAACUUAA